rnacentral:tRNA from 1 species
GUAGGCAUAGUUUAUCAAAAACACUAGAUUGUGAAUCUAGAAACAGGAUAUCAAAAAUCCUUGCCAACC